AACGCGAAGAACCUUACCAGGUCUUGACAUCCUUUGACCACUCGAGAGAUCGAGCUUUCCCUUCGGGGAAAAGUGACAGGUGGUGCAUGGUUGUCGUCAGCUCGUGUCGUGAGAUGUUGGGUUAAGUCCCGCAACGAGCGCAACCCUUAUUACUAGUUGCCAGCAUUCAGUUGGGCACUCUAGUGAGACUGCCGGUGACAAACCGGAGGAAGGUGGGGAUGACGUCAAAUCAUCAUGCCCCUUAUGACCUGGGCUACACACGUGCUACAAUGGAUGGUACAACGAGUCGCGAAGUCGUGAGGCCAAGCUAAUCUCUUAAAGCCAUUCUCAGUUCGGAUUGUAGGCUGCAACUCGCCUACAUGAAGCCGGAAUCGCUAGUAAUCGCGGAUCAGAACGCCGCGGUGAAUACGUUCCCGGGUCUUGUACACACCGAAAA
rnacentral:rRNA from 1 species